AAUUCCUUAAAUGAAAUCAUGAGACUAAGUACAAAAGCACAACAAAAUCCCUAGAUCAAACACAGUUUACUAUUUCUACAUAAUCAAAGAGCAUGACCCAAAAAUCAAGAAACAAUAACCAAACAUCUCAAUUCUCAUUAUUGUGAAGAUUCAUCAACUUCAUACAAAACAACCAGUUCAGAUUUAAGGGCUAAAGUUACAACAAAAUGCUUAGAAAUUAAAAAGGAAAAUAAACUAGAUCACAAUCACAAUUGGCUCCCUCAAGCUCUAGAAGCCUUCCCUAAUUCUCUCUCAGUCUCCAAAUCCAACUGUGAGAGAUGCCUUCUCACCUCCAAAAGUAUCUCUUUGCAUUUUCCACCUCCACAAGCUGGCACCUAGAAUUCAGAAUUUUUCUGCCAAAAAUUAAAAUAUCGAUCCUUGAAAAUUUGUCCUCAACUAGAAGUAAUAAAAGAAUAAAGAAAAAAUUGAAAUGCCAAGAAAACCACCAUGACUAAAAGCUAUAUAAAGAAGUAGAAAAUGAGAUAGAAAAACUACCUCAAACUUAUUUUCUAUUUAAUAACUUACGAGGAAAAAGAUAUAUCAAGAAAAAAAAUAUAUAAUUUAUAUUGAGUUAUUAUUUAGCGAUUAGAAAAUAGGUU
rnacentral:lncRNA from 1 species